rnacentral:rRNA from 1 species
GGUGAAAUGCGUAGAGAUCUGGAGGAAUACCGAUGGCGAAGGCAGCCAUCCGGCCUAAUACUGACGCUGAGGUACGAAAGCAUGGGGAGCAAACAGGAUUAGAUACCCUGGUAGUCCAUGCCGUAAACGAUGUCUACUAGCCGUUGGGGCCUUUGAGGCUUUAGUGGCGCAGCUAACGCGAUAAGUAGACCGCCUGGGGAGUACGGUCGCAAGACUAAAACUCAAAUGAAUUGACGGGGGCCCGCACAAGCGGUGGAGCAUGUGGUUUAAUUCGAUGCAACGCGAAGAACCUUACCUGGUCUUGACAUAGUAAGAACUUUCCAGAGAUGGAUUGGUGCCUUCGGGAACUUACAUACAGGUGCUGCAUGGCUGUCGUCAGCUCGUGUCAUGAGAUGUUGGGUUAAGUCCCGCAACGAGCGCAACCCUUUUCCUUAUUUGCCAGCGAGUAAUGUCGGGAACUUUAAGGAUACUGCCAGUGACAAACUGGAGGAAGGCGGGGACGACGUCAAGUCAUCAUGGCCCUUACGACCAGGGCUACACACGUGCUACAAUGGUCGGUACAAAGGGUUGCUACCUAGCGAUAGGAUGCUAAUCUCAAAAAGCCGAUCGUAGUCCGGAUUGGAGUCUGCAACUCGACUCCAUGAAGUCGGAAUCGCUAGUAAUCGCGGAUCAGAAUGCCGCGGUGAAUACGUUCCCGGGCCUUGUACACACCGCCCGUCACACCAUGGGAAUUUGUUGCACCAGAAGUAGGUAGUCUAACCGCAAGGAGGACGCUUACCACGGUGUGGCCGAUGACUGGGGUGAAGUCGUAACAAGGUAGCCGUAGGGGAACCUGCGGCUGGAUCACCUCCUUUCU